GAAUCAAUUACUGAAACACCUUAGGGUUUUCUUCUAUUUUUAACUAUAUGAUUUUUUUACAAUUUUUAAAAAAAAUCAGAGGUAAUGCGUGGCAAAAGGUACGUCAUACAAGUUUAUUGGUUUACUUUACGGUAUAUAAAGUUUUGUGGUAAUUGGUAGAAAGAAAUGUUUGAAAUAUAUAUUUUGUUAUCUUCUCUUGUAACUAAUCUUUGAAUUUGAAUCUGCGAGAUUUAUCAAAUAUUCAUGGGUAAGAUAAGACAAGCACGUAGGUGUCUAUACAUACAUCUGAUUAAGUUUCAGUGGAAAGAAAUUCGUUCACUCUGUGUGUCAUUUAAGCCAACAUGUGAUAAAACGAAUAUCUAUUUAAAACGUAGCAAAACGAUAUCGGUGAAAAUGAUGUUGGAAAUAUGUUACGAAAUUGUAUAUUAUAGAAGCGUAAAGGGAAAAGGGAGAUGUUUGUAUCACGCCUUCGAUUCCAAUUUACGUACCGCACAUAUUUCCAUCGUUUAUGUCAAAGUUGAAAUUUCAAAACCAAUAUUCGCAAGGGGCGUUCUGUUUGCGGAAAAAGAGGAAAUAGCAAAUCUGACGACAAAGUGUUUCCAACGUCUAAGAUUCAAAUAGUAGGCAAUCGAUUCGUAUAGAAAAAGGGCUGCCAACUGGGAUGUAAACGGAAGAUGGAUGCUCCUUAAUGGCUUCCUGACCAAAUUGGGUUUGUUUUGCUAAAAAGGCAACGCCACUGUAAUGGAUAGCUGAGGCUUAACGUCCAAAACUCAACGUUCUACAUGACAAUUAGGAGAACUGGUAUUUGUUCUGGAUCACUGAAAUACGGGUGGUGCAAAACAAAGACAAUACUCUGGAAUGUAAACCUUUUUCAAUACUAACUACGUGGUUAUGGUUAUCUCUAACUACAUUAUACAUAAGCUUAGUUUUAAGCUGCAUCAUUUUAUUACCGUAACUGUAAUUAACAGAAUUGAAGUUGUAAAAUAUGGAAAAUGUCACCAAU